UACGGGGGGAGCAAGCGUUGUUCGGAUUUACUGGGCGGAAAGGGCGCGUAGGCGGCCACCGCAAGUCGACUGUGAAAUCUCCGGGCUUAACCCGGAAAGGUCAGCCGAUACUGCGGGGCUAGAGUGCAGAAGGGGCAACUGGAAUUCUCGGUGUAGCGGUGAAAUGCGUAGAUAUCGAGAGGAACACCUGCGGCGAAGGCGGGUUGCUGGGCUGACACUGACGCUGAGGCGCGAAAGCUAGGGGAGCGAACGGG
rnacentral:rRNA from 1 species